GACGAACGCUGGCGGCGUGCCUAACACAUGCAAGUCGAACGGAAAGGCCCUGCUUUUGGGGGGUGCUCGAGUGGCGAACGGGGGAGUAACACGUGAGUAACCUGCCCUUGACUUUGGGAUAACUUCAGGAAACUGGGGCUAAUACCGGAUAGGAGCUCCUGCUGCAUGGUGGGGGUUGGAAAGUUUCGGCGGUUGGGGGUGGACACGCGGCUUAUGAGCUUGUUGGUGGGGUAGUGGCUUACCAAGGCUUUGCACGGUAGCCGGCCUGGGCGGGUGACCGGCCACAUUGGGACUGGGAUACGGCCCAGCCUCCUACGGGAGGCAGAAGUGGGGAAUGUUGCACUAUGGGCUGAAGCCUGAUGCAGCAACGCCGCGUGCGGGAUGACGGCCUUCGGGUUGUAAACCGCUUUCGCCUGUGACGAGGCGUGAGUGACGGUAAUGGGUAAAGAAGCACCGGCUAACUACGUG
rnacentral:rRNA from 1 species